CCUACGGGUGGCAGCAGUGGGGAAUAUUGGGCAAUGGGCGAAAGCCUGACCCAGCAACGCCGCGUGAAGGAAGACGGCUUUCGGGUUGUAAACUUCUUUUGACAGGGAAGAGCAGAAGACGGUACCUGUCGAGUAAGACACGGCUAACUACGUGUCAGCAGGCGCGGUAAUACGUAGGAGGCAAGCGUUGUCCGGAUUUACUGGGUGUAAAGGGCGUGUAGCCGGGCUGACAGGUCAGAUGGGAAAUCCUGGGGCUCAACCCCCGUACUGCAUUUGAAACUGGUGGUCUUGAGUAUAGGAGAGGCAGGCGGAAUUCGUAGUGUAGCGGUGAAAUGCGUAGAUAUUAGGAGGAACACCAGUGGCGAAGGCGGCCUGCUGGACGACAACUGACGGUGAGGCGCGAAAGCGUGGGGAGCAAACAGGAUUAGAUACCCGGGUAGUC
rnacentral:rRNA from 1 species